rnacentral:ncRNA from 1 species
UUUCGUUGAUUUUUAUCAGGUUCCUGUUCUGAUAAAAGUUAGUGAAAAAUCUUUCACUAACGUAGAAACUCGCCGUGAUGACACCGAGUUACUACGUUUUUUU